rnacentral:rRNA from 2 species
AGAGUUUGAUCCUGGCUCAGGAUGAACGCUAGCGGCAGGCUUAACACAUGCAAGUCGAGGGGCAGCAUAAUGGAUAGCAAUAUCUAUGGUGGCGACCGGCGCACGGGUGCGUAACGCGUAUGCAACCUACCUUUAACAGGGGGAUAACACUGAGAAAUUGGUACUAAUACCCCAUAAUAUCAUAGAAGGCAUCUUUUAUGGUUGAAAAUUCCGAUGGUUAGAGAUGGGCAUGCGUUGUAUUAGCUAGUUGGUGGGGUAACGGCUCACCAAGGCGACGAUACAUAGGGGGACUGAGAGGUUAACCCCCCACACUGGUACUGAGACACGGACCAGACUCCUACGGGAGGCAGCAGUGAGGAAUAUUGGUCAAUGGACGCAAGUCUGAACCAGCCAUGCCGCGUGCAGGAAGACGGCUCUAUGAGUUGUAAACUGCUUUUGUACGAGGGUAAACGCAGAUACGUGUAUCUGUCUGAAAGUAUCGUACGAAUAAGGAUCGGCUAACUCCGUGCCAGCAGCCGCGGUAAUACGGAGGAUUCAAGCGUUAUCCGGAUUUAUUGGGUUUAAAGGGUGCGUAGGCGGUUUGAUAAGUUAGAGGUGAAAUCCCGGGGCUUAACUCCGGAACUGCCUCUAAUACUGUUAGACUAGAGAGUAGUUGCGGUAGGCGGAAUGUAUGGUGUAGCGGUGAAAUGCUUAGAGAUCAUACAGAACACCGAUUGCGAAGGCAGCUUACCAAACUAUAUCUGACGUUGAGGCACGAAAGCGUGGGGAGCAAACAGGAUUAGAUACCCUGGUAGUCCACGCAGUAAACGAUGAUAACUCGUUGUCGGCGAUACACAGUCGGUGACUAAGCGAAAGCGAUAAGUUAUCCACCUGGGGAGUACGUUCGCAAGAAUGAAACUCAAAGGAAUUGACGGGGGCCCGCACAAGCGGAGGAACAUGUG